rnacentral:rRNA from 1 species
UGGUUGAUCCUGCCAGUAAAUAUAUGCUCUUUUCUAAGAUUAAGCCAUGCACGUGUUUCAGUUCUACGCUAAAAAUGUGAGACUGCGGACGGCUCAGUAAAUCAGUCAUGAUCUAUCUGAUUGUAUAGCCCAUUGGAUAACCGUGGGAAAACUAGAGCUAAUACAUGCGUUUAAUCAAUUUUGGGGUUUACCUCAAAGUUGAAGCAUUUAUUAGAGCAAACCAGCCACUGUAUGGAUGGGUAACUACACAUACAUGAGGGUGAAUCUAGAUAACUUGUCUGAUCGUAGUGGCCUUGAGCCGGCGACAUUUCAGUUGAAUCUCUGCCCUAUCAACUUGUUGGUAAGGUAGUGGCUUACCAAGGUUAUAACGGGUAACGGGGAAUCAGGGUUCGAUUCCGGAGAGGGAGCCUGAGAAACGGCUACCACAUCCAAGGAAGGCAGCAGGCGCGCAAAUUACCCAAUCCAGACGCUGGGAGGUAGUAACGAGAAUUACUGAGUAGUGGCCCGAAUGGGCUACUAGUUUGGAAUGAACGUGAUUUAGUACAUCCGAUGAGUAACAACUGGAGGGCAAGUCUGGUGCCAGCAGCCGCGGUAAUUCCAGCUCCAGUGGCGUACUUUAAAGUUGCUGCGUUUAAAACGCUCGUAGUUGGAUCACGCGAUGUUAAGCAGUGGAGUGGCUUAAUGUACGCUAAACCCUCACCGGUUGUUGUGGCCACGUUCUACCGUGGACGCAUUCAAUUGACGUGAGGAGUACAUUGAGUCCACUAUAAGCUGUUUAACAUUACUUGCACGUGGGAAUGGUCAUUGACCUUAAUUGAGUUGAUGAUUGUGUCUCACGGAGUGUGCCUUGAAUAAAUCAGAGUGCUUAAAGCAGGCUUUUGCCUGAAUGUUGAUAGCAUGGAACGAACAGUUGUGUAAUAGUGCAAUGGUGUUUGGCAUCACNAAGCUUUGAGCUGAGUGUGCUAAUCCCAUGCACAGCACCAACCACCAAUAUCGGAUGUUGGUUCCNUAUUGGGGUGAUGACUAGGAGGAGCGGUUGGGGGCAUUGGUAUUUGGCCGCGAGAGGUGAAAUUCUUGGACCGGCCAACGACUAACAAAUGCGAAGGCAUUUGCCCAGAUCGUAUUCCAUUAAUCAAGAUCGAAAGUGGAAGGUUCCAAGUCGAUUAGAUACCGCCGUAGUUUCCACUGUAAACUAUGCCAACUCGGGAUCAGUUCGGUGCUAAACCAACGCUCCAAGUUGGUCCCCCUGGGAAACCUUAAGUCUUUGGGUUACGGGGGGAGUAUGGUCGCAAGUCUGAAACUUAAAGGAAUUGACGGAAGGGCACCACCAGGGGUGGAGCCUGCGGCUUAAUUUGACUCAACACGGGGAAACUCACUCGAUCACGACAUCAACAUGAUUGCCAGACUAAAGCUCUUGCAUGAUCUGAUGGAUGGUGGUGCAUGGCCGUUCUUAGUUCGUGAAGUGAUUUGUCGGGUUUAUUCCGAUAACGGACGAGACCGCAUUCUCCAUUUGGUGAACAAAAGUUAUCAACCUAGAUUACUGGNAACAGUAGUUUAGUUUGACUAUAGGCAGAAUAGGCGCACAGCAUCCCUAGGUAUUAGCUAAGAAGGCCCUUAAAAGCUGACUUGGCUCAUAUUGAAGGUUGUUGUGCUUAGUUUGUUCUCCCUUUUGAUAAGUAGUGUAUGAUUUCAUUAUUGUGCAUUACACCAUGGAGAGACUGUUGGGUAUAUUCCAAAGCCAAACGAGGCGCGGCAAUAACAGGUCUGUGAUGCCCUUAGAUGUUCGAGGCUGCACGCGCGCUACAAUGAUAACGUCAAAAAGUUUCUGUGUUGAAAAACUCGGGUAAUCAAAAAUCGUUAUCGUGAUGGGGAUUGAUCGUUGUAAUUAUCGGUCAUGAAAUAGGAAUCCCUAGUAUGUGCACGUCAUAAGCGUGAACAGACUNNGUCCCUGCCCUUUGUACACACCGCCCGUCGCUACUACCG